rnacentral:rRNA from 1 species
CUACGGGUUGCUGCAGUGGGGAAUAUUGGACAAUGGGGGAAACCCUGAUCCAGCAAUGCCGCGUGUGUGAAGAAGGCCUGCGGGUUGUAAAGCACUUUCGGUUGGGAGGACUGCUUCUAGCACUAAUAUUGUUGGAAGUUGACGUUACCUUCAGAAGAAGCACCGGCUAACUCCGUGCCAGCAGCCGCGGGAAUAGCGGAGGGUGCAAGCGUUAAUCGGAAUUACUGGGCGUAAAGCGCGCGUAGGCGGCUAGAUCAGUCGGGUGUGAAAGCCCAGGGCUUAACCGGGGAACUGCAUCCGAUACUGUAUAGCUUGAGUACAGGAGAGGAGAGUGGAAUUCCACAUGUAGCGGUGAAAUGCGUAGAUAUGUGGAGGAACACCAAUGGCGAAGGCAGCUCUCUGUCCUGAUACUGACGCUGAGGUGCGAAAGCGUGGGGAGCAAACAGGAUUAGAUACCCCCGUAGUC